rnacentral:rRNA from 1 species
UACAGAGGGGGCAAGCGUUAUUCGGAAUUACUGGGCGUAAAGCACGCGUAGGCGGCUCUUCAAGUCGAGUGUGAAAGCUCCAGGCUUAACCUGGGAAUUGCGCUCGAUACUGUUGAGCUAGAGUGUGGAAGGGGCUACUGGAAUUCCGUGUGUAGCAGUGAAAUGCGUAGAUAUACGGAGGAACACCAGCGGCGAAGGCGGGUAGCUGGGCCAACACUGACGCUAAAGUGCGAAAGCUAGGGGAGCAAACGGG